GCGGACGGAGAGCUUGCUUCUUUGCUGACGAGUGGCGGACGGGUGAGUAAUGUCUGGGAAACUGCCUGAUGGAGGGGGAUAACUACUGGAAACGGUAGCUAAUACCGCAUAACGUCGCAAGACCAAAGAGGGGGACCUUCGGGCCUCUUGCCAUCGGAUGUGCCCAGAUGGGAUUAGCUAGUAGGUGGGGUAACGGCUCACCUAGGCGACGAUCCCUAGCUGGUCUGAGAGGAUGACCAGCCACACUGGAACUGAGACACGGUCCAGACUCCUACGGGAGGCAGCAGUGGGGAAUAUUGCACAAUGGGCGCAAGCCUGAUGCAGCCAUGCCGCGUGUAUGAAGAAGGCCUUCGGGUUGUAAAGACUUUCAGCGGGGAGGAAGGGAGUAAAGUUAAUACCUUUGCUCAUUGACGUUACCCGCAGAGGAAGCACCGGCUAACUCCGUGCCAGCAGCCGCGGUAAUACGGAGGGUGCAAGCGUUAAUCGGAAUUACUGGACGUAAAGCGCACGCAGGCGGUUUGUUAAGUCAGAUGUGAAAUCCCCGGGCUCAACCUGGGAACUGCAUCUGAUACUGGCAAGCUUGAGUCUCGUAGAGGGGGGUAGAAUUCCAGGUGUAGCGGUGAAGUGCGUAGAGAUCUGGAGGAAUACCG
rnacentral:rRNA from 1 species